rnacentral:rRNA from 1 species
UACGAAGGGGGCUAGCGUUGCUCGGAAUCACUGGGCGUAAAGGGUGCGUAGGCGGGUCUUUAAGUCAGGGAUGAAAUCCUGGAGCUCAACUCCAGAACUGCCUUUGAUACUGAAGAUCUUGAGUUCGGGAGAGGUGAGUGGAACUGCGAGUGUAGAGGUGAAAUUCGUAGAUAUUCGCAAGAACACCAGUGGCGAAGGCGGCUCACUGGCCCGAUACUGACGCUGAGGCACGAAAGCGUGGGGAGCAAACAGGG